rnacentral:rRNA from 1 species
UACGUAGGGGGCAAGCGUUGUCCGGAAUCAUUGGGCGUAAAGAGCGCGUAGGCGGUCCGGUAAGUCCGCUCUGAAAGUCCGGGGCUCAACCCCGGGAGGCGGGCGGAUACUGUCGGGCUAGAGUCCGGAAGAGGCGAGUGGAAUUCCUGGUGUAGCGGUGAAAUGCGCAGAUAUCAGGAGGAACACCGGUGGCGAAGGCGGGUCUCUGGGCAAUAACUGACGCUGAGGAGCGAAAGCGUGGGGAGCGAACAGG